rnacentral:rRNA from 1 species
UACGUAGGUGGCGAGCGUUGUCCGGAAUUACUGGGCGUAAAGCGUGCGCAGGCGGUUUUGUAAGUCUGUCGUGAAAUCCCCGGGCUCAACCUGGGAAUUGCGAUGGAGACUGCAAGGCUAGAAUCUGGCAGAGGGGGGUAGAAUUCCACGUGUAGCAGUGAAAUGCGUAGAGAUGUGGAGGAACACCGAUGGCGAAGGCAGCCCCCUGGGUCAAGAUUGACGCUCAUGCACGAAAGCGUGGGGAGCAAACAGG